CAGCUGACGAGUCCCAAAUAGGACGAAAUGCGCAUCCUG
rnacentral:hammerhead_ribozyme from 1 species